UACGGAAGGGGCAAGCGUUGUUCGGAAUCAUUGGGCGUAAAGGGCGCGUAGGUGGUUCUGUAUGUCUGCCGUGAAAGCGUACGGCUCAACCGUAUUUUGUCGGUAGAAACUGCAGGACUUGAGGCUGGGAGGGGCUGGUGGAAUUCCCUGUGUAGCGGUGAAGUGCGUAGAGAUGGGGGAGAACACUCGUGGCGAAGGCGGCCAGCUAGACCAGUUCUGACACUGAGGCGCGACAGCGUGGGGAGCAGACAGG
rnacentral:rRNA from 1 species